GUCCGCGCCUGUGCUGAGUCCGCGGGGCCCGGGGCCCCUUCGAACCGCUCUGGGCGGGGCGAGAGGCGAAGGCGGCCCUGGCCGGCGCUCGCUGGUUGGGUUAGUGGCUCAGGCCUAGUGGGGACCCGCACCCCACGUUUGGGGCCUCCGCAAUAUGCGGACGCCACGUCGGCGUUGUCACUGACCGGACCGGAACCCAGGCUUGAGAAGCGCGAGUUGUGGAGCCAGCAGGAAAAAUGUCUUUGAGGAGUUGACGUUGGAAUUGAAGUCAAGAGAAUGAGGAGAUAGCAUUGGGAAAAGGAAGGCAGAGACAUUCCAAAUCAAGAACAGCUUGCACCAAGGUCCUGAGAAAGGGAUAGAGUCACCAAAAUUUGGCAAGCUAUAAACCCAUCCAUGAGAAAGACUACAUUCUCCCAGCCACUCUUACAGAUUUCCUACGUUGAAAACACAUUAUUUUAAAAGUAAGUAUGCUUUAAAGAUUAUUACAGAGAAAAUCCCUACUGAGUGGCACUUGGCACAGUGGAACUGCAAAAACUCUGCUCUCAAGAAACACGGAGGUGAGUCCUGAAGCUGGGCCAGCCUGGUCAACCUUCCACCUGGAAGGAAGAAGGCAGGAGCUCCAAGGGCACUAACAAAGUCAAACAACGCACCUAGCAACAUCAGAGCGAGCCAGCCAGGCUUAGGGAGCCUGUGAGCACCAGCUGAGUCACUGCCAGGCAAGAGGAGGCUGGCAGGGGAGCCGGGCCCUGCCCUGGGGGCUGAGAGGCAGAGAUAGCAAGAGAAGGAAUCCUAGGAGUCCAGAGUGGGGAGAGGCUGAAGGAUCCUAAGGAAGUGGCCUGCCCAAGUGCAAGGGUACUGGAAGGGAUCUUUGGGAACCAUCUGCAAGGAGGAGCUAUGGGCAAGGGAAGGGCGGCGUCUCUGCUGCAGGAGAGAUUCAUUUCCUCUGUACCACAUACUAGCUGUGUAUCUUUGGCUGCGUUAUUUCAUACGCCCAUUCUCUUACAUGUAGAUGAGAACAAAAAUACCGACUACCCCAGACUGACUGCAGAGAGGACAUGAGAUCAUGUAGAGGAGCACCUGGCACAAGGUAGGUACUCAAUGGCAGUCCCCGUCACUAAGACACGCUGAUACAUUUACCGGAAAGUUAGCAAACAGGUUUAUGUUAUACCAGACACCAGAUCAUGCUCGAUUCUCAGAUAAGCAAUUGCAGAUACCAAGGUUAAAAAGAAAAAGACAUGAAAUACAGCUUAAAAUUGAAUGCUUUCUGGAGAAAUAUUGUCUGAUAUCCCUUAUGUGGAAUCUAAAAAGAAACGAUACAAAGGAACUUACUUACCAAACAGAAAGAGACUCACAGACUUAGAGA